GAUCCUGGCUCAGGACGAACGCUGGCGGCGUGCUUAACACAUGCAAGUCGAACGAAAAGAGGGAAAGAGCUUGCUCUUUCCGGAAUUGAGUGGCAAACGGGUGAGUAACACGUAAACAACCUGCCUUCAGGAUGGGGACAACAGACGGAAACGACUGCUAAUACCGAAUAAGUUCCAAGAGCCGCAUGGCCCAUGGAAGAAAAGGUGGCCUCUACCUGUAAGCUAUCGCCUGAAGAGGUUGGUUGC
rnacentral:rRNA from 1 species